UACGUAGGGGGCGAGCGUUGUCCGAAGUUACUGGGCGUAAAGCGCGCGUAGGCGGCUGGUUAAGUGGCCGGUGAAAUCCCCGGGCUCAACCCGGGGUAGACUGGUCAUACUGGCCGGCUGGAGUGUGGGAGAGGAGAGCGGAACUCCUGGUGUAGCGGUGAUAUGCGUAGAGAUCAGGAAGAACACCCGUGGCGAAGGCGGCUCUCUGGACCACAACUGACGCUGAGGUGCGAAAGCCAGGGGAG
rnacentral:rRNA from 1 species